rnacentral:rRNA from 1 species
CCUACGGGUGGCUGCAGUGGGGAAUAUUGGACAAUGGGGGCAACCCUGAUCCAGCCAUGCCGCGUGUGUGAAGAAGGCCCUCGGGUUGUAAAGCACUUUCAGUGAGGAAGAACGCCUGGUGGUUAAUACCCAUCAGGAAAGACAUCACUCACAGAAGAAGCACCGGCUAACUCCGUGCCAGCAGCCGCGGUAAUACGGAGGGUGCGAGCGUUAAUCGGAAUUAAUGGGCGUAAAGCGCGCGUAGGUGGCUUGAUAAGCCGGUUGUGAAAGCCCCGGGCUCAACCUGGGAACGGCAUCCGGAACUGUCAAGCUAGAGUGCAGGAGAGGAAGGUAGAAUUCCCGGUGUAGCGGUGAAAUGCGUAGAGAUCGGGAGGAAUACCAGUGGCGAAGGCGGCCUUCUGGACUGACACUGACACUGAGGUGCGAAAGCGUGGGUAGCAAACAGGAUUAGAUACCCGAGUAGUC